GAUGAACGCUGGCGGCGUGCCUAAUACAUGCAAGUCGAGCGAACAGAUGAGGAGCUUGCUCCUCUGACGUUAUCGGCGGACGGGUGAGUAACACGUGGAUAACCUACCUAUAAGACUGGGAUAACUUCGGGAAACCGGAGCUAAUACCGGAUAAUAUAUUGAACCUCAUUGUUCAAUAGUGAAAGACGGUUUUGCUGUCACUUAUAGAUGGAUCCGCGCCGCAUUAGCUAGUUGGUAAGGUAACGGCUUACCAAGGCAACGAGGCGUAGCCGACCUGAGAGGGUGAUCGGCCACACUGGAAGUGAGACAGGGCCCAGACUCCUACGGGAGGAAGCAGUAGGGAAUCUUACGCAAUGGGCGAAAGCCUGAUGGAGCAAAGCCGCGUGAGUGAUGAAGGUCUUCGGAUCGUAGAACUCUGUUAUUAGGGAAGAACAAAUGUGUAAGUAACUAUGAACGUCUUGACGGUACCUAAUCAGAAAGCCACGGCUAACUACGUG
rnacentral:rRNA from 1 species